AACGUAGGUGGCGAGCGUUAUCCGGAUUUACUGGGCGUAAAGCGUGUGCAGGCGGAGCUACAAGUGGUGUAUGAAAUCGCUCGGCUAAACCGGGCGGGGUUAUGCCAGACUGUAGUUCUAGAGUGCGAGAGAGGGGCGUGGAAUUCCGGGUGUAGUGGUGAAAUGCGUAGAGAUCCGGAGGAACCCCAGAGGCGAAGGCGGCGCCCUGGCUCGCAACUGACGCUCAGACACGACAGCAUGGGGAGCGGAACGGGAUUGAGAU
rnacentral:rRNA from 1 species